UAAAGCAUAGAGUUAAUUGAGCAUUUUUCUUCGCUGCUCAUUGACUGCUAUUCUUUAAA
rnacentral:precursor_RNA from 1 species